UACGUAGGGUGCGAGCGUUAGUCGGAAUUACUGGGCGUAAAGCGUGCGCAGGCGGCUUUGCAAGACAGAUGUGAAAUCCCCGGGCUCAACCUGGGAACUGCAUUUGUGACUGCAAGGCUAGAGUACGGCAGAGGGGGAUGGAAUUCCGCGUGUAGCAGUGAAAUGCGUAGAUAUGCGGAGGAACACCAAUGGCGAAGGCAAGCCCCUGGGCCUGUACUGACGCUCAUGCACGAAAGCGUGGG
rnacentral:rRNA from 1 species